rnacentral:sRNA from 1 species
AUGUAUAUAAUGUAUAUUUAUUCGCAUAAACCGACUAAGAUUUUUCGACAAAACUUCUUAUUAUUCGCUAAUCUUAAGCCUUUGACAACUUUUUUGGGUAUGUGUCAUACUAUGAAGUGUAUAGAUUUACUAUACAAAGAUUCGCAUGAUGAAGGGAUUGUGAAAGGCAUGUUAGGAAAAGUAAAAUGGUUUAACGCAGAAAAAGGUUUUGGAUUUAUUGAGCGCGAAGACGGGGACGAUGUGUUCGUACACUUCUCCGCAAUCAACACUGAUGGAUUCAAAAGCCUUGACGAAGGUCAGCAAGUUGAGUUUGAUAUUGUAGAUGGCGCACGUGGGCCUCAAGCGGCUAACGUAACUAAACUAUAAUUCAAAGCAUUAAUGACCAAACAUUAGAUCCCGCCUGUAUUUUGCAGGCGGGUUUUUA